rnacentral:rRNA from 1 species
CCUACGGGUGGCAGCAGUGGGGGAUAUUACACAAUGGGGGAAACCCUGAUGCAGCGACGCAGCGUGGACGAAGACGUAUUUCGGUAUGUAAAGCCCUAUCAGCAGGGAAGAAGAAAUGACGGUACCUGAGUAAGAAGCACCGGAUAAAUACGUGCCAGCAGCCGCGGUAAUAGGUAGGGUGCAAGCGUUAUCCGGAUUUACUGGGUGUAAAGGGAGCGCAGGCGGCACGGCAAGCCUGAUGUGAAAGCCCGCGGCCCAACCGCGGGACUGCAUUGGGAACUAGCGGGCUGGAGUGCCGGAGAGGUAGGCGGAAUGCCUGGUGUAGCGGUGAAAUGCGUAGAUAUUAGGAGGAACACCAGUGGCGAAGGCGGCCUACUGGACGGUGACUGACGCUGAGGCUCGAAAGCGUGGGUAGCAAACAGGAUUAGAUACCCGGGUAGUC